CCUACGGGCGGCAGCAGUGAGGAAUAUUGGUCAAUGGGCGAGAGCCUGAACCAGCCAAGUCGCGUGAGGGAGUACUGCCCUAUGGGUUGUAAACCUCUUUUGUCGGGGAGCAAAAGCCGGACGUGUCCGGCUGUGAGAGUACCCGAAGAAAAAGCAUCGGCUAACUCCGUGCCAGCAGCCGCGGUAAUACGGAGGAUGCGAGCGUUAUCCGGAUUUAUUGGGUUUAAAGGGUGCGGAGGCGGAUUUUUAAGUCAGCGGUAAAAUCGUGGGGCUCAACCCCAUCCAGCCGUUGAAACUGGGGAUCUAGAGUGUGCGUGAGGUAUGCGGAAUGCGUGGUGUAGCGGUGAAAUGCAUAGAUAUCACGCAGAACCCCGAUUGCGAAGGCAGCAUACCGGUGCACAACUGACGCUCAGGCACGAAAGCGUGGGUAUCGAACAGGAUUAGAUACCCCAGUAGUC
rnacentral:rRNA from 1 species